rnacentral:rRNA from 1 species
UACGUAGGGGGCAAGCGUUGUCCGGAAUCACUGGGCGUAAAGCGCGCGCAGGCGGUCAUCUACGUCUGGGGUGAAAGCCCGGAGCUCAACUCCGGGAUUGCCUUGGAUACGGGAUGACUUGAGGAUCGGAGAGGCAAGGGGAAUUCCACGUGUAGCGGUGAAAUGCGUAGAGAUGUGGAGGAACACCGGUGGCGAAGGCGGCCACCUGGACGGUAACUGACGCUGAGACGCGAAAGCGUGGGGAGCAAACAGG